UGUGGGUCGUGAUUCCUUUUCUCUCCCAUCCGCUCACAGUGACGGCACCACGCAUCGACACUGCGACAGUGUGUGCUUGUGUCGGGGUCAGCUGAACACACGCUGAGCGGGGGCCGAUACAGCGAUACGACGGAGGAGGCGCGUGACCUCGGCGUCCCUCCCUUUCCCCUCUCGCAUACCCACACGCAGAGCGACAUACAGACACACGCACGAGCACGUGCCCGAGGGCAAACACGUAGACGCGGUCACCACCAAAGCGUCAUGUCUUCUGCACCUGCAAACUCCGGAGACGUACCCUCCCACUCCCCCGGCUUUGCCACUGGAGCCACCGCCGCCUCGGCCAGCGUCGAUGUCUUCUCCUCAGCUUCUGCCGUUCGCAUUGAGGAGCUCCAGCGCACGCUCGAGGCGCUUUAUCGCGAUAUUCUCUUUCCGUUCUAUGAACCGGUCGAACGCCUCCGCGUCGUGACCAAUCGAGCGAUCCGGAUUCAGGACGUGGUGGAUGCCGUGGAGAAGCAAAGCCAGGGUGCGCUGUGAGACUGAAAGCCCCCCUCCCCCCUCCUUCCACCGAGGUGACUUGAUCAGCGCAGGGAGCAAACGCGAACCGCGGCAUCGGCGUUGUUGUCGAUGCGAUUCGUUGCUUUGUGUGUCUUCGUUUGUAUACUACUGAUGAAUGUUUCUGAGAAUGCUUCUGUGCGUGUGUGUGUGUGUAGGGGGGGGGGGGCGGUGCGAAAGGUGCCGGUGGAUGCGCGCUGUAGAGAGAACGGGAGACGACCGCACUGAAUCUCCCCCCUGUUCGCUCCUUUCCUCUCCUUCCUCCGAUGCUCAGCUUCAGCUUCCACGCACUGCAGCGCUGGCGUUCGGCCUCACCAGCCGACGUCCCUCCUCUCCACUCCUUCCUUUCCUCUUUCACACGGAGACAACCGGAAAACAAGAAGAGCACAUCCACAGACAUGAAGAAGCGAAUGAAAACGUCAAAAUGUCGGCAACGCCCGGAGAAGCGGAGGACUUUACAUCCACUAUCGCAUCUCACACGGCUCCAGAGGGCAAAGCGAAGCAGCCGAAAUGCCUUCGUUUGGGGGUGGGGUUUCAAGUGCGCAACGCGCGUUUUUCAGAGCACGACGGAGAGCGCCGUGGACGAGGGGCAAAUUCUCUCGCACCUCUGCAACGCCCUGUGCGCUGCGUUCAGCUCCCUCUGCCCUGUCGUUCUCUUUGCCUUUGUGGCUUUCCAUCGUCACGCUUUGGACCACUCCCUUCGCCGCUCGCCGCGCACGUGAAACACAG
rnacentral:misc_RNA from 1 species